GACGGGGGGGGCAAGUGUUCUUCGGAAUGACUGGGCGUAAAGGGCACGUAGGCGGUGAAUCGGGUCGAAAGUGAAAGUCGCCAAAAAGUGGCGGAAUGCUCUCGAAACCAAUUCACUUGAGUGAGACAGAGGAGAGUGGAAUUUCGUGUGUAGGGGUGAAAUCCGUAAAUAUACGAAGGAACGCCAAAAGCGAAGGCAGCUCUCUGGGUCCCUACCGACGCUGGGGUGCGAAAGCAUGGGGAGCGAACAGG
rnacentral:rRNA from 1 species